AACAAACGGCUGGCGGCGUGCCUAACCAUGCAAGUCGAACGAGAAAGUCGGUUUCGGCCGAUGAGUAAAGUGGCGCACGGGUGAGUAACGCGUGGAUAAUCUACCCUUUAGUCCGGAAUAACUUGCCGAAAGGUGAACUAAUACCGGAUGACAUCCCGGGUUCUCCGGAAACCGGGAUCAAAGAAGGCCUCUGCUUGCAAGCUUUUGCUGAAGGAUGAGUCCGCGUACCAUUAGCUAGUUGGUGGGGUAAUGGCCUACCAAGGUUAUGAUGGUUAGCUGGUCUGAGAGGAUGAUCAGCCACACUGGAACUGAAACACGGUCCAGACUCCUACGGGAGGCAGCAGUGAGGAAUAUUGCGCAAUGGGGGCAACCCUGACGCAGCGACGCCGCGUGAGCGAAGAAGGCCUUAGGGUUGUAAAGCUCUGUUCUAUGGGACGAAGUCCUUGACUGUGAAUAAUGGUCAAGGUUGACGGUACCAUAGGAGGAAGCCCCGGCUAACUACGUG
rnacentral:rRNA from 1 species